rnacentral:rRNA from 1 species
GAGCGUAGGGCGCGAGCGUUUGUCCGGAUUUAUUGGGCGUAAAGAGCUCGUAGGUCGGCUUGGUCGCGUCGACUGUGAAAUCCCGCGGCUCAACUGCGGGUCUGCAGUCGAUACGGGCAGGCGUAGAGUUCGGUAGGGGAGACUGGAAUUCCCAGUGUAGCGGUGAAAUGCGUAGAUAUUGGGAAGAACACCGGUGGCCGAAAGCGCGCGACUGGACCUGAACUGACACUGGAGGGACGAAAGCUAGGGGAGCGAAAGGG